rnacentral:rRNA from 1 species
UACGAAGGGGGGCUAGCGUUGCUCGGAAUUACUGGGCGUAAAGGGCGCGUAGGCGGCUUGGUCAGUCCCGUGUGAAAUCCCUCGGCUCAACUGAGGAACUGCACGGGAAACUGCCUGGCUUGAGUUCGGGGAGAGGGAAGCGGAAUUCCGGGUGUAGCGGUGAAAUGCGUAGAUAUCCGGAGGAACACCUGCGGUGUAGACGGCUUACUGGACCAUCACUGACGCUGAGGCACGAAAGCGUGGGUAGCAAACAGG